GUCGUAACAAGGUCUCCGUUGGUGAACCAGCGGAGGGAUCAUUACCGAGUUUACAACUCCCUAAACCCCCUGUGAACAUACCUAUGUUGCUUCGGCGGACCGCCCCGGCGCCCCUCGCGGGGCCCGGAUCCAGGCGCCCGCCGGAGGACCCCCAAACUCUUGUUUUUUGAACCAGUAUCCUCUGAGUGACAUAAGCAAAUAAAUUAAAACUUUCAACAACGGAUCUCUUGGCUCUGGCAUCGAUGAAGAACGCAGCGAAAUGCGAUAAGUAAUGUGAAUUGCAGAAUUCCGUGAAUCAUCGAAUCUUUGAACGCACAUUGCGCCCGCCAGUAUUCUGGCGGGCAUGCCUGUCCGAGCGUCAUUUCAACCCUCAAGCCCGGCUUGGUGUUGGGGAUCGGCCCGUCCCGUUCGCGGGCGCGCCGGCCCUGAAAUCUAGUGGCGGCCUCGCCGUAGCUUCCUCUGCGUAGUAGCAAUAUCUCGCACCGGAGCCGCAGCAAGGCCACGCCGUUAAACCCCCCACUUCUGAAAGGUUGACCUCGGAUCAGGUAGGAAUACCCGCUGAACUUAAGCAUAUCAAUA
rnacentral:rRNA from 1 species